GAUGAACGCUGGCGGCGUGCCUAAUACAUGCAAGUCGAGCGAACAGACGAGGAGCUUGCUCCUCUGACGUUAGCGGCGGACGGGUGAGUAACACGUGGAUAACCUACCUAUAAGACUGGGAUAACUUCGGGAAACCGGAGCUAAUACCGGAUAAUAUAUUGAACCGCAUGGUUCAAUAGUGAAAGACGGUUUUGCUGUCACUUAUAGAUGGAUCCGCGCCGCAUUAGCUAGUUGGUAAGGUAACGGCUUACCAAGGCGACGAUGCGUAGCCGACCUGAGAGGGUGAUCGGCCACACUGGAACUGAGACACGGUCCAGACUCCUAAGGGAGGCAGCAGUAGGGAAUCUUCCGCAAAGGGCGAAAGCCUGACGGAGCAACGCCGCGUGAGUGAUGAAGGUCUUCGGAUCGUAAAACUCUGUUAUUAGGGAAGAACAAAUGUGUAAGUAACUAUGCACGUCUUGACGGUACCUAAUCAGAAAGCCACGGCUAACUACGUG
rnacentral:rRNA from 1 species